GUUUAAUGAAGUCAGCCUCACUCAAUAACUUGGUGCUGAUCUAAUUUUGUUUAUUACUUACAAUAAAGUUUUCAAGACGCAUCAAUCAACCAUAUGCACAUACUAUAUUAAAAUAAGGAAUAUAUAUUCAAUGGUAAAGCUAAAAAUGGUUGAAUUUUAUAACUCUUCAACCUUUUAUACAAUAUUUUUUAAAAAAUCAACAUGGAUUUCUGCUACAGCAUACAAAAUUUUAAAUAGAUUAAUUGUUAGCAAAAGAAAAUGUGAUCAAGAUUAUGUACUCACAAGUCUUCUAUUGUACGAGGUAGCAAAAGAAUUUCUAUUAUUGGGUGGAGGUGGAACAAGAU
rnacentral:misc_RNA from 1 species